UACGUAGGGGGCAAGCGUUGUCCGGAAUCAUUGGGCGUAAAGAGCGUGUAGGUGGCUCGGUAAGUCCGCUGUGAAAGUCCAGGGCUCAACCCUGGAAUGCCGGUGGAAACUGUCGAGCUAGAGUCCGGAAGAGGCGAGUGGAAUUCCUGGUGUAGCGGUGAAAUGCGCAGAUAUCAGGAGGAACACCAAUGGCGAAGGCAGCUCGCUGGGCAUUAACUGACGCUGAGGAGCGAAAGCAUGGGGAGCGAACAGG
rnacentral:rRNA from 1 species